AACAACACACAACAUUCCAGGAAUGUACUACCAAAGUUCUAUCAAUAUUUGAAUGUCCUGGACAUUUAGGGAACAUUCGGUGAACAUCUGUUUAAAUUAUUCCUGGAAUGUUACCAUAAGACAUUCUGUGAACAUACUACCAAUGUUCCUAUAUUUUAAGUUGCGAAAUAAUACAUACGUGUAACAGAUACAACAUUACUUAUAACAUACCAGACAAACUAAGUGACACUUUAGGCCUACAGUGCAAUAAUAUGUCAAAUUUAAAGAGUUUCCCAAGUUCAAUUAAUACAAUAUUAUAAACAUACAAAUGUAAUAAAAAUUAUUGUUCGCGAAUAUUCAAUUUGGAAUGCGAUUUUGUUAAUAAAAAAAAAUACUUAUAACUUAUGCAAAACCCAAGAGAGGCAUUUAUAUUUAUUUCUUUUGCGUUCAUUUUCAAAUUCGCCGUGCAUAUAUUUUUGUGCAUGGCGCUUGAGAGGGCAUCACGUGACUAAAAACGACCAACCAACGACCUCGCUUCGGCCAUCUUGGCAUCUUCAUCUUGGCCACCUUGCUUUGCCGUGGGUGGAUCGUUGUAUUUUAUUUGUGCUUUUUAAGAAUAUUUUUUUAAUUCGGAUAGUUUUAUAAUAGCUUUAAUAGUAUUAUUAACAUAGUGAAUAAAAUGGUGUCCUGUUUUUAACGCAGUUGGAGUAGCAGAAACAAAUGUAGAUAAAAAAAUCUGCAGGAAUAACGUUUCAAUUAUGACAGAAGCUCCAAACAAAUGACUGUGAAUGAAAAGCCCUAUUAAAAGCUUUCCAGAAGAUCCUGCGAAGAAGACAUGAAGUAUAGAUCAGAUUUGUUAAUAGAGGAGUAUGCUCAAAACACUUUUUAGAAAAAGAUAUUGACAGAACUUCACUUUCAUCUGUUCGUUUAAGAGACUGUGCUGUUCCAAUAGCUUAUGUCACACAGAAUCAGCUGAGAGAAGUGGUCUACAAAAAACCAGAAAGGAAACGGAAUAUGUGGCUAUGAAAAGCAAAAGAAAGGUUUACAAAGCAAAUGUGACACAUUUUUUUAUAAUAUUUAGGAAUGUCAGUAAAUUACAUUAAAAAAUGUAUGUAAAGAUUUUUUGCAAUAAAAAUGUUUAUAUUUA